CGUGGCUUCCGGAGCUAACGCGUUAAGUCGACCGCCUGGGGAGUACGGCCGCAAGGUUAAAACUCAAAUGAAUUGACGGGGGCCCGCACAAGCGGUGGAGCAUGUGGUUUAAUUCGAUGCAACGCGAAGAACCUUACCUGGUCUUGACAUCCACGGAAGUUUUCAGAGAUGAGAAUGUGCCUUCGGGAACCGUGAGACAGGUGCUGCAUGGCUGUCGUCAGCUCGUGUUGUGAAAUGUUGGGUUAAGUCCCGCAACGAGCGCAACCCUUAUCCUUUGUUGCCAGCGGUCCGGCCGGGAACUCAAAGGAGACUGCCAGUGAUAAACUGGAGGAAGGUGGGGAUGACGUCAAGUCAUCAUGGCCCUUACGACCAGGGCUACACACGUGCUACAAUGGCGCAUACAAAGAGAAGCGACCUCGCGAGAGCAAGCGGACCUCAUAAAGUGCGUCGUAGUCCGGAUUGGAGUCUGCAACUCGACUCCAUGAAGUCGGAAUCGCUAGUAAUCGUGGAUCAGAAUGCCACGGUGAAUACGUUCCCGGGCCUUGUACACACCGCCCGUCACACCAUGGGAGUGGGUUGCAAAAGAAGUAGGUAGCUUAACCUUCGGGAGGGCGCUUACCACUUUGUGAUUCAUGACUGGGGUGAAGUCGUAACAAGGUAACCGUAGGGGAACCUGCGGUUGGAUCAC
rnacentral:rRNA from 1 species